rnacentral:lncRNA from 1 species
GCAGAUCAUGUGACGUCUGCCAUUUCGAAUUAUUAUUUUCCAUCAUUAUCACUUUCGAUACAACAAAAUCAACAAAACAAUGAUUACAAUGUGUUAGGAGAGGCAGAAGAAAAGAUAUAAUAAGGGAGUAUCUUAGCAAGCAAGGGCUCGAGCAUAUCUUCAUCGCGAGGCUAAGGUGAGUCACCAUGCGAUCAAGCUUUUCGUCCAUCUCGAAAUGGAGUGCAAUAGUUGAGGCAAAAUUAAGAAAAAAACAUAUCAAAUGCAAAUCCAUAAGACUAUGUUAA